rnacentral:tRNA from 1 species
GGGGAAUUAGCUCAGUUGGUAGAGCGCUUCGUUCGCAUCGAAGAGGUCAGCGGUUCGAAUCCGCUAUUCUCCAC